GAGACAGAGAUGUUAGCGAAACCCAAAAAAGUAAGUCUCAGUACGGAUUGAAGGCUGAAAUUCGCCUUCAUGAGGCCGGAAUUGCUAGUAAUGGCAGGUCAGCAUACUGCCGUGAAUACGUUCCCGGGCCUUGUACACACCGCCCGUCACACCAUGAGAGUUGGGAAUACCCGAAGCCUGUGAGCUAACAGUAGAGGCAGCAGUCGAAGGUAGAAUCAAUGAUUGGGGUGAAGUCGUAACAAGGUAUC
rnacentral:rRNA from 1 species